rnacentral:tRNA from 1 species
UUUUUAGCUCAGCGGCAUAAGCGCCUGCCUUGCAAGCAGGCAGUCGUGAGUUCGAUCCCCAAUAAAA